rnacentral:rRNA from 1 species
UACAGAGGGUGCAAGCGUUAAUCGGAAUUACUGGGCGUAAAGCGUGCGUAGACGGUAGCGUAAGUCGGGUGUGAAGGCCCCGGGCUCAACCUGGGAAUUGCAUUCGAGACUGCUCUGCUAGGGUGCGGAAGAGGGAAGCGGAAUUUCCGGUGUAGCGGUGAAAUGCGUAGAUAUCGGAAGGAACACCAGUGGCGAAAGCGGCUUCCUGGUCCAGCACCGACGUUCAGGCACGAAAGCGUGGGGAGCAAACAGG